AGAGUUUGAUCCUGGCUCAGAACGAACGCUGGCGGCAUGCCUAACACAUGCAAGUCGAACGAGACCUUCGGGUNNUAGUGGCGCACGGGUGCGUAACGCGUGGGAAUCUGCCCUUCGGUUCGGAAUAACUCAGGGAAACUUGAGCUAAUACCGGAUAAUGACUUCGGUCCAAAGAUUUAUCGCCGAGGGAUGAGCCCGCGUAGGAUUAGCUAGUUGGUGAGGUAAAGGCUCACCAAGGCGACGAUCCUUAGCUGGUCUGAGAGGAUGAUCAGCCACACUGGGACUGAGACACGGCCCAGACUCCUACGGGAGGCAGCAGUGGGGAAUAUUGGNCAAUGGGCGAAAGCCUGAUCCAGCAAUGCCGCGUGAGUGAUGAAGGCCUUAGGGNUGAAAGCUCUUNUACCCGGG
rnacentral:rRNA from 1 species